rnacentral:rRNA from 1 species
CAGGCCUAACACAUGCAAGUUGAGCGGGGAAGGGUAGCUUGCUACAUUUCCUAGCGGCGGACGGGUGAGUAAUGCUUAGGAAUCUGCCUAUUAGUGGGGGACAACAUUCCGAAAGGAAUGCUAAUACCGCAUACGCCCUACGGGGGAAGGCAGGGGAUCUUCGGACCUUGCGCUAAUAGAUGAGCCUAAGUCAGAUUAGCUAGUUGGUGGGGUAAAGGCCUACCAAGGCGACGAUCUGUAGCGGGUCUGAGAGGAUGAUCCGCCACACUGGGACUGAGACACGGCCCAGACUCCUACGGGAGGCAGCAGUGGGGAAUAUUGGACAAUGGGCGAAAGCCUGAUCCAGCCAUGCCGCGUGUGUGAAGAAGGCCUUUUGGUUGUAAAGCACUUUAAGCGAGGAGGAGGCUACUUAGAUUAAUACUCUAGGAUAGUGGACGUUACUCGCAGAAUAAGCACCGGCUAACUCUGUGCCAGCAGCCGCGGUA